CGCGCAGCCUAAAGGUUAAAGGGGCAAAGGGGGCGGGGCCACCGGUCACCAAGGAGACCAGCCCACUAGCGUCCCCUGCCGACCGAACCCACUGGUGUCUAGUGAUGCUGCGAGCCUGAGGCCUGCAGAUGGUCUAUUUUUGAGCUGCAAGUCCUUUAAAGAGUGUGAGGACUGAGUCUGAUGAACUGGGGAAGGCAACACAAUAGAACCUCAGGAAUUGGAGAAGACGAGACCUGGAAUUCCCAGCAAAUUUUUACUAUGAAACUUCAGGUGCUCCAGGAAUAAAGAAAAGUAUAUUUUC